ensembl:lncRNA
GUUUGGCAGGCUGGGUGAUGCUGUGUACUCCUGGCUCAGGCAUGCUCAAGAGCAUUCUUUGGCUGUUGGAGCUCAGUGGGUUGGGCUGUGCUGCCCACAGGCUGAUGUGCUGCUGAUGGCAAAUUAUACUCAGCUGGGUUGAGUGCUGCCAAAUUGCAACUCUUCCUAGGGCAAGCUGACUGCUGCUGGAGCAAACAGCUUCAUGGGAAUUGCUGUCAUUUUGCAGCAAGGAGGGCUGUGUGUAUGUGUCACCUGCUGGCAAAGAAGAGGAAGGGUGGCUGGAAAGUAAAGGUCUGUCUCUCCCUGUAAGGUGCAGUAUUCCCAGUGCACACAGGUGGAAAACCACAUCAUCUCAGAGGGACAGUCCACACCAGUGUUGAGACUGCUGAAGAAGAAGUUCCAGCUGCAACCAGGCCAUAGAGAUGUGCUCCAGCCCAGACAGCCUCUUUUUGAGUAUUUCCUCAGUAUUUGGACCCAGACAGUGUCCAAGGAUCACUUUAUGGCUCUCCAUUUCUGUUUCUCAAAGCUGCUGUCCAAUCUGAGGAACCACUGUGGUAAUAAAUUCCACAGAUAACUGGCCUGGGCCCAACUGAACUUUUUGGGAAGAUCGAAACAAAACAGAAUGAAGUGGCAGAAACCCACAGGAUCUUCUGUUUACUAUAUUUUUG